AACACGUGGGCAACCUCUCAAACUUGGACCGACCGAGUCGGAAACCGGAGCUAAUACCGGAUAAUCCCUUUCUCCACCUGGAGAGAGGGUGAAAGAUGGCUUCGGCUAUCACUAGGGGAUGGGCCCGCGGCGCAUUAGCUAGUUGGUAAGGUAACGGCUUACCAAGGCAACGAUGCGUAGCCGACCUGAGAGGGUGAUCGGCCACACUGGGACUGAGACACGGCCCAGACUCCUACGGGAGGCAGCAGUAGGGAAUCUUCCGCAAUGGACGAAAGUCUGACGGAGCAACGCCGCGUGAGUGAGGAAGGCCUUCGGGUCGUAAAGCUCUUUGUGAGGGAAGAAGCGGUACCGUUCGAAUAGGGCGGUACCUUGACGGUACCUCACCAGAAAGCCACGGCUAACUACGUGCCAGCAGCCGCGGUAAUAAAUUCGUAGGUGGCAAGCGUUGUCCGGAAUUAUUGGGCGUAAAGCGCGCGCAGGCGGCUUCUUAAGUCUGAUGUGAAAUCUCGGGGCUCAACCCCGAGCGGCCAUUGGAAACUGGGGAGCUUGAGUGCAGAAGAGGAGAGUGGAAUUCCACGUGUAGCGGUGAAUGCGUAGAGAUGUGGAGGAACACCAGUGGCGAAGGCGACUCUCUGGUCUGUAACUGACGCUGAGGCGCGAAAGCGUAAAGAGCAAACAGGAUUAGAUACCCUGGUAGUCCACGCCGUAAACGAUGAGUGCUAGCGUGUUAGGGGUUUCGAUGCCCGUAGUGCCGAAGUUAACACAUUAAGCACUCCGCCUGGGGAGUACGGCCGCAAGGCUGAAACUCAAAGGAAUUGACGGGGACCCGCACAAGCAGUGGAGCAUGUGUUUAAUUCGAAGCAACGCGAAGAACCUUACCAGGUCUUGACAUCCUUUGACCCCAAGAGAUUGGGCUUCCCCUUCGGGGGCAAAGUGACAGGUGGUGCAUGGUUGUCGUCAGCUCGUGUCGUGAGAUGUUGGGUUAAGUCCCGCAACGAGCGCAACCCUUGAUCUUAGUUUUUGCCAGCAUUUUURAGUUGGGCACUCUAAGGUGACUGCCGGUGACAAACCGGAGGAAGGUGGGGAUGACUCAAAUCAUCAUGCCCCUUAUGACCUGGGCUACACACGUGCUACAAUGGAUGGUACAAAGGGCAGCGAAACCGCGAGGUGAAGCCAAUCCCAUAAAGCCAUUCUCAGUUCGGAUUGCAGGCUGCCCCGGAACUCGCCUGCAUGAAGCCGGAAUGCUAG
rnacentral:rRNA from 2 species